rnacentral:rRNA from 1 species
AAUACGGAGGGUGCGAGCGUUGUCCGGAAUCACUGGGCGUAAAGGGCGCGUAGGUGGCCCGUUAAGUUGCCGGUGAAAUCCCGGGGCUCAACUCCGGGGCGGCCGGUAAGACUGGCGGGCUCGAGCACGGUAGAGGCAGAUGGAAUUCCCGGUGUAGCGGUGGAAUGCGUAGAGAUCGGGAAGAACACCAGUGGCGAAGGCGUUCUGCUGGGCCGUUGCUGACACUGAGGCGCGACAGCGUGGGGAGCAAACA